UGUUUAAAAAAAAACAAAAUUGCUAAAUAUUACAGCAAAUCUCCGUCUAAGUCAAUGAGAUAGAAAAAGACAUACACCCGUCAGGACAGAGGGUCUACAUUGUGAUUUUGCCUCACUUUCUUUUAUCGUGCAUAGGGUCCGUUAGCAUACGUUAAAAUGCAAAUGUGACCGCUCUCUGCGCAUGCGCGAAAAUUUGUAAUAGACUAGACGACCUAACCUAACUUUAAGAUUUAAGAAUCAUCACAUUGUUGAUCACAAAACACCCCUUGGAUAUUUUGUAUUGUUGAUUUAAAUAUCGAAGAUAGAACACGCCGCUUUGCUUUUUGGGCAUUAAACAAUUUUAUUGUGUUCAAAAUUGAAAUGCACUAUGGAAUUUGAAAGGACGAAAUUUCAAUGCUCUCAUUGCAACAAAACUUAUACAAGUGUUGUGNCNAGCCAGAUGUCGGCAUAUCAGAAAUNGUCACCCAGAUACAAAGCAAGUUUUCCAUGAGUUUCAAUCAACAUCUUAAUAAUGUUCAUGUCUGAUUUACUAAAGAAUCGCUUUGGGGACCUUGUAUCAGCUAGGCACAAACUUUGCGAUUGAACAUAUGUCUUAUGAAUGUAACAGAACUUCAUUAUCCUAUCUAUUUCAAUUUUUUUAGCAGUUACCGAACAUAAAGUUGAGAUUUCUAGGAAAAUGAAUACUCUGCACUUGAUUAGGUGUUAAAGUGAAGUUUUAACCUGCAUUUUUCUGCAUAAUCACUUUAAU
rnacentral:lncRNA from 1 species